rnacentral:piRNA from 1 species
UCCUAAUUACUGGACCUAGGAGGU